CUUGGGAAUAAUUAAUCACCGCUAGUGUUUCACUCUUCUUAGACACCACUUGCCCCAAAAUCCAUCAUCCAAAAAUUGCUUACCACUAUAACUGAGCAACGGGACACAUUUUGGUAGAUUAAAAAAUGCAGUUGUUUUUUAUAUAAAGUUUUCUUUUCUUAAUUAAUUUCCUUUUAAAAUGCUCUUUUAAGACACGAAGUAUAAUUUGUCCAUUAUUUGAAUCAAGCUAUACUCGUGAUUCACAAAAUGACAAUGCUUACCACUCUAAUGUUUGUUUUGAGACAACCGAUAGAGGAGGAGCCACUACAACACAAGCCAUCACAAAUAUACAAGCCUACUCUUCUGAAGCCAAAAUUCAUUAAAGCAUCUUUUAUUGACAAUACAAUACUAUCACCACCACCAAGACCACCAAGACCACCAAGGAUUCAUCCUGCUCCGGUCCCGGUGUUUCACUCUUCCAAGAAGACAUGAUUUAAAACACCACAAGAAAAAUCACUUGCCCCAACCUAUUAUUAGUUCGCAGGAAAGAGUUGGUGUUUUCGCAGGUUUUAGCCGUUCAUAUGUUCGAUUUAUUAUGGAUUGAUGGCAAUUUGUUAUUGUUACUUUUUUAAGUUGUAUUCUGGGUGGAAUGGUUGUGUUAGUUUGCUCUUUAUUAAUAAAUUUUUGCUUGUAAAAAGAAGAGGUUUGUUAUUUGAACAAUCAUUUGAGUGACAACCACUAAUUUACAAAGGAAAGUAGAUAGUGACACGGAAAUCAAAGUAAUAGAGAGAGAAAGUAAAAAAAUUAUGUGAGUAUGAAAAAUAAAAUUGUCACAUAAGUUGUCAUAAAAUGGUUGUCAAAAUAUCAUUUCUCUUUUGAAAAGAAAAUAUUGUAAAAGUACAACUACCCCAUGAUUCGUCUGUCAAUCGUGCUUUGAUUUCUUGCACCA